CACGUAGGGGGCGAGCGUUGUCCGGAAUCACUGGGCGUAAAGCGCACGUAGGCGGAUUUCUAAGUCAGGGGUGAAAUCCUGGAGCUCAACUCCAGAACUGCCUUUGAUACUGGGAAUCUUCGAGUCCGGAAGAGGAGAAUGGAAUUCCCGGUGUAGCGGUGAAAUGCGCAGAUAUCGGGAAGAACACCCGUGGCGAAGGCGGUUCUCUGGGACGGUACUGACGCUGAGACGCGAAAGCGUGGGGAGCGAACAGG
rnacentral:rRNA from 1 species